rnacentral:rRNA from 1 species
AGGCUUGAUCCUGGCUCAGGAUGAACGCUAGCGGCAGGCCUAAUACAUGCAAGUCGAACGGACUUUGAGCGAUCAAAGUUAGUGGCGCACGGGUGCGUAACACGUACACAACAUGCCCUUGACUGGGGGAUAGCGGUGGGAAACUGCCAGUAAUACCCCAUAGUCUUUGGUGCUGGCAUCGGCACUAAAGUAAAGCUGAGGCGGUCAAGGAUUGGUGUGCGUCCGAUUAGCUAGUUGGUAGGGUAACGGCCUACCAAGGCGACGAUCGGUAGGGGGUGUGAGAGCAUGGCCCCCCACACGGGUACUGAGACACGGACCCGGACUCCGUACGGGAGGCAGCAGUAAGGAAUAUUGGACAAUGGUCGGAAGACUGAUCCAGCCAUGCCGUCGUGCAGGAAGAAUGCCCUCGGGGUUGUAAACUGUCUUUUGUGACGGGAAUAAACCACCCGACUUGUUGGGUUGUCUGUAAGGUACCGUCAGAAUAAGCACCGGCGUACCUAUCCCGUGUCC